rnacentral:RNase_P_RNA from 1 species
AAGGAAAGUCCGGAGCUUAGAUAAACAUAUUCUCAUAAUGGUGAGAGCAUAGUUAAACCUCAGGUAUUACACAGAAAAUAAUACACAUUUUUAGAUAGUUCUUUAAAGAACUAUAUUUAAAUGUUUUAAUAAUAGUUAUUAUUAUAAACAGUAAAAAUGAAUGCGAACUUUCAAGCCUAUGCUAAGCCUUAAUUUAGAUUAAUAACUAUCACAGAAUCCGGCUUAA